GUCAGCUCGUGCCGUGAGGUGUCGGCUUAAGUGCCAUAACGAGCGCAACCCCUGUUCUCAGUUGCCAUCGGGUAAUGCCGGGCACUCUGUGAAGACUGCCUCCGCAAGGAGUGAGGAAGGUGGGGAUGACGUCAAAUCAGCACGGCCCUUACGUCCGGGGCUACACACGUGUUACAAUGGCAUGUACAGAAAGCUGGCCGUAUGCAAAUACGGUCGAAUCCCUAAAACAUGUCUCAGUUCGGACUGGGGUCUGCAACCCGACCCCACGAAGCUGGAUUCGCUAGUAAUCGCGCAUCAGCCAUGGCGCGGUGAAUACGUUCCCGGGCCUUGUACACACCGCCCGUCAAGCCAUGAAAGCCGGGGGCGCCUGAAGUCCGUAACCGCAAGGAUCGGCCUAGGGUGAAACCGGUGAUUGGGGCUAAGUCGUAACAAGGUAGCCGUACCGGAAGGUGCGGCUGGAACACCUCCUUU
rnacentral:rRNA from 1 species